rnacentral:lncRNA from 1 species
GAAGACUGAGGGAAUGCCCGUAUUCAAAGACCAGGACUCGUAGGAGCUAGUUAAGAGGAAGAGGGAAUGGACGAAAAAAUGGGAAGAAGUAAGAUAAAGCCAUGUCUAGGCCACGUGAAGUAAGUUUUUCAAGAAGGAAAGAGCCAUGGGCUCGUCCAAUGUGUAGACAGAGCCACGUUGUUGGCUCUGUUUUGUUAGCUCUUCUCUUCAAUGUUGGGCAUGCAGUAGAUGCCACAUGAAUGUGCGUUGAACGAAUACACAGAUGAGGUGAAGCUUGUGUCCUUACUAAUCUAAUAAAGGACUAACUUUCGAGUUUUGGAAGAGGUGCCAGAACAGAUUUUUUGAUCUAGAUGAGAGGGUCUUAACAUGGAUUUCUGAGCUCACUACAAUAGAGAAGCACAGGAUGCUUUAAUGGAGCCAGCUGGUGGAAAAAUAGGGAGUUAAGAACUUUUGCUUUUCAGGGCACCUGAGUGGCUCAGUUAGUUAAGCAUCUGCCUUUGGCUCAGGUCAUGAUUUCAGGGUCCUGGGAUCGAGCCCCACAUCGGGCUCCCUGCUCAGCAGGGAGUCUGCUUCUUCCUCUCCUUCCCCUUCCCCUGCUCAUGCUCACGGUCUCUCUCUUGCAAAUAAAUAAAUAAAAUCUAAAAAGAAAUGUUUCUAUUUCUUAUCACAGGGAGGAACCAUAAGGUGGUGAUGGGGGAAGAACUAGGAGAGCUUCCCAACUCCCUAAGUGAGGAUAAGUGUCUGAGAAGAAGAGAGACAGCACUUCCCUGAUGGAUUCAACAGGGGAGAAAGGGAAUGUUCAGUUAUCUUUGCCUACAACCAUCACCCUCCCUCUCACCACAGAAGCUGACCCCUCUGUGACCAGUCAAAGGGAGGCAGUGAUUGGCAUUAAGCCCCCUCCACAGCAAGAACAGGUCACGUAGAUCACCACCACCAGCAAAAAAGUGCAACUUACAGCGUGGCCAAAUAUUUCUUCUGGAGGGCUACACGGGGAUCUUGGAGAUACUCCUGAAAACCACCAAAUUCCUGGGUUCAUACAGCUGUUGUGCCCUCCUCCGGUGUGAAUUGGCAAGAUUUGCUUGAUAAAGACUGGCAGUGUUCUCUAGGAUGCGACCACUGUCUGCGGCGGCCGGCUGGCACCGAGGGGGCAGAGUAGUGAAGUGGAAAGAACGUGACCUUAGAGUCAGAUGGACCUCUUUUGAUUUCGUACCGUGCCCAGUCAAGAUAAUUAAGUGCCGUGAACAUUGAUCUCACUCAUAAAAGCAAGAUCAUCGUAGCUCACUCCCACGGUCUCCGUGAAGAGUGGACGGGACCCAGUGCCUCACACUCUGCUCCCCAUGCU